ACUCCUACGGGAGGCAGCAGUGGGGAAUAUUGCACAAUGGGCGAAAGCCUGAUGCAGCGACGCCGCGUGAGGGACGACGGCCUUCGGGUUGUAAACCUCUUUCAGUAGGGAACAAGGCAUCAUUUUUGUGGUGUUGAGGGUACUUGCAGAAGAAGCACCGGCUAACUACGUGCCAGCAGCCGCGGUAAUACGUAGGGUGCAAGCGUUAUCCGGAAUUAUUGGGCGUAAAGAGCUCGUAGGCGGUUUGUCGCGUCUGUCGUGAAAGUCCGGGGCUCAACUCCGGAUCUGCGGUGGGUACGGGCAGACUAGAGUGAUGUAGGGGAGACUGGAAUUCCUGGUGUAGCGGUGGAAUGCGCAGAUAUCAGGAGGAACACCGAUGGCGAAGGCAGGUCUCUGGGCAUUAACUGACGCUGAGGAGCGAAAGCAUGGGGAGCGAACAGGAUUAGAUACCCUGGUAGGCGUA
rnacentral:rRNA from 1 species